CUAGCCGCCCUAAAAAUCUCCAACCCUACUUCGUCGGCGGCUACACCCAAACAACUCUAAUCUCCCUCAAAUUCACACCUCAUAAUCUCCUCUUCCUCCUCAUAUUAUAUCUCAUUUUAGUUUCUUUCAAAAAACCCCAUAAUUUCGCAAUUUUUAGAUCUUGGAACCGUCAGAAUUUUUCUUUCGAGACUUGGCCUUGUGAAUUCGAAAUCAACAUCAGUUGUUUGCUCUUCAUAAGAGCAAUCAAUUGAUGAUGAGUUCAAUUCCCAUUUUUUCCGUCGAUUGGGUCUUCGAGCGGAAGCUUUUAGGCGCCCGACCCAGGUCAUGUGCACCUGACCCAGAUGAUUUUGAAAAAGAGGAUAAGGGAAAGAAUCAACACGCAAAAGGGCAUCUGACAUUUUCUUUUCGUAUAUAUACCUCUCACAAAUCUGGAUCUAACGGAGAUGUCAGAAUCCAUGGCUUUUUCUCCUUCUUUGUAUCUCACACCUAAGUGUAUUCGUCUGACCGGAUUUUGGUAGAUACAACAUGAUAGUAUAUUCUCAGAUCUAGCCGGAUUUUGUUCGUCUUCAUUUUUAAUUUUAAUACAAUGUAAUGGUAUUUUGCUUGGUCGAAAAUACCAUCUCCUGUGAACUUUUUUCUCUUAUUCGCUAUUGAGUCACAUACAAUGACACAAAUACAUUGUAUUCUGUACAAAUAAAUUUGAGUGUAUUCUGUA